CGGCCGGAUCGGAGGGGUCUCGUGAGAAUAAGGAAAUCACGUGAGACUUGAUGCGUGCGAAAACAUUCCUCCUAACGCGGGCGGUAGCGAAAGGUGUGUAAGAGAAGAGCUAAGUGAGCUGUGUGCUGCGGGAAGAGUACAUGUUUGGAGAGUGACUGGGGAUUUUGCGCUUGCUUCUCAUCAGUGACGUGUGCGCUUGUCUCGUCUCUGUUGUGUCUGGAGUUGACCUGGAUGACCACGGGUUAGCAGGGGAGACUGAGAACUGUGUGUGCUGCGUCCGGUGGGGGGUGCGGCCCUGGGCUGCAAGCUAGGAGUGGCCGCUGCCAAACAACACGGUGCCUUGAUGGGACAUGUCUGGACUGCCGCAAGAGGAGGAAUCCGGCUACCAGCACGAAGUGAGGUCGUUUUAUGGGCACGUGUUCGAGUGUCUCUAGGGUGCUAUCAGAAGUUGGGGCAGUUGUAUCGGAUGGAGGAAACUGAGAUCCAUGGACAACGUGACUUGUCACUCGCCACUUAUCAGGAAGGAGUUGUGGAGGUAAGAGUGGUGGAUACUGUUGCUGGUGGCCUGCCCAUGCCUUCCCCAGACCCUUGUGCUGAUCGUGAGGAUCUCACCAAUCAACAGAAAGAUAAACUGGCAGUAUCGGGGGGUGAGCAAUCAGAUCCUCCCAUUUAUGGGUUCUGGGUACCUGUCCCUAAUGUACCCGGGGAUCAGGAGCCCCAGGAAGCCUGCCGGUCUGCUAGACAGAAUUUAGGCCUGCCACCGGAGCGCUACUCUCCGUGAGUUAUACAUGACUGUUCAUUGCUUGUCAGGGACUGCCAAGGUUAAAGCCUGGGGGGGUGUCAGUGUGUGGGUUUUUUUUGUGUGUGUGUGCGCUGUGUAAUCCAUGGUUGCUGUGAUUGUUUGCUGUGUGAUCUAAUUUAGUGUGUGGCCUGAAACUAAACUCACAGGUGUUCCUUAUGAUCGGACAAUGGCAAAGUCAAUUAUUCUAUUACAAACGUGGAAAGACUGAUUGGGGGACAGGUGGGGUAGGCGUGCUUUUUUUUUUUUUUUUUUUCCUAUUUAUAGGGGUCCAGCAAGGAGGAAUGGGGCGCGACCAACCAGGAAAGAGCACGACAGAGCAAGUGGAGCGCAACAGAGGGUGCCGGCAUUCAACUGUGGUUUCCACAUUGUGUGUGUACAACGCGUUUGAUACUUCAUCUGGGUCGUGGUUAAGCCACACCCAGAUGCGACCGACCAGGAAAGAGAGCACGGCAGAGCAAGCGGCGCGCAACAGAGGGCGCCGGCAUUCAACUGUGGUUUCCACAUUGUGUGUGUACAACGCGUUUGAUACUUCAUCUGGGUCGCGAUUAAGCCGCACCCAGGCAAAGUAAGUACACUUUUAAGCUAUAUUGCCUACCAGAUAUUCUGUUGGUUGUGACGGCACUCUCCACUGCUGAGACCCUCUUUCUCUCCCUCGGAGGCAUCGUCCAGUGCCAACUUGAUGUAGGGAGGAGGAGCUGACUGGAAGGGAUGGUGCCGUGCAUGUUAUGCUAAGCUAACUGCUGCUGACUGUGGGAUUGCUUGCUACUGCUUAAUUGCCUUGCUUGCUGGGUCGCUGGGAUUGCUGCUGGCCGCGUGUUGCUUGCUUGCUGGCUUGCUGCUUCUGCUGCGCUCUGGGGGUGGGAUCACGCUGAUUUUAGUUAUUGCAUGGAUUGAGUUUUAAAGGAUUUUUUUGCAUGGGUUGUCAUUUUAAUGUUUUUGAAUUACAGGUGCAUCUACUGUUAACUUUAAAUAAUAAGAAUUUAUUGAAACUUAAACUUUGUCUGUCUGCUCACUGCUUGCCACCACACCUGUAUAACUGUCUGGUCACGGACACACUAAAACUUGGUGACAUUUCCACUGUUAUGCUGAUGACACACAGUUGUAUGUUUCUGCAAAACCAGAGACACCAGCUUAAUAGAAUUGAUGAAUGUGUAAAGGACAUUAGACACUUGAUGCUUAUUAAUUUCCUUCUGCUUAACUCUGACAAGACAGAAGUACUUGUACUCGGACCACAUGCAGCUAGAAGUAAGUUUUCUGAUUACACAGUAACUCUGGAUGACCUUUGUUUCUUCACGUGCAGCAGUAAAAGACCUCGGAGUGAUUAUUGACCCCAGUCUUUUAUUCGAAACUCACAUUGAUAACAUUACCCAGAUAGCUUUCUUUCAUCUCAGAAAUAUUGCUAAGAUAAGAAAUUUAAUGUUACUACAUGACGCGGAAAAACUAGUUCAUGCUUUCGUUACCUCCAGGUUGGAUUAUUGUAAUGCCUUACUGUCUGGAUGUUCCAAUAAGUGCAUAAACAAGCUCCAGUUAGUUCAAAAUGCAGCAGCAAGAGUCCUUACUAGAACUAGAAAAUAUGACCACAUCACCCCUGUUUUAUCCACACUGCAUUGGCUCCCAAUCAAAUUUCGUAUUAAUUAUAAAGUACUACUAUUGACCUUUAAAGCACUGAAUGGUCUCGCAUCACAGUACCUGAGUGAACUUCUGCUCCUCUAUGACUCACCAUGUCUACUUGGAUCAAAAGGUGCAGGCUAUCUGCUGGUACCUCGUAUAGUGAAGGCUACAUCAGGGGGCAGAGCCUUUUCUUACAAAGCCCCACAGUUAUGGAACAGCUUUCCAAGUAGUGUUUGGGAAUCAGACACAGUCUCGGUGUUUAAGUCUUGGCUGAAAACAUAUCUGUUUAGUCAAGCCUUUUGUUAAUGGUGUCUAUGAGGUAAAGGUGUAGAUCUGGAGGAUCCUCAGACAUAGUGUUUUGGUAAGCUGGGAUGUAUGGAUGCUGUCAGUCCCCACUCGCUUGCUCACUUGAGUUUGUUGAUGGUGUAGUGGCUGGCUGCUUUAUGUCCCGGGCUCCCUCAUGCCUAUGUUACCUUCUUGCUCUCCCCUUUUAGUUAUGCUGUCAUAGUUAGUUGCCAGAAUCCCUGCUUGUACUCAGUGCAAUAUGUAUACUGUUCCUACUUAUUGAGGUGACAUUGGGCAUACCUAACAACCUGUGUUUUCUCCCCCCCCCACCCCCCCCACCCCCAAUCUGUCCCUCUGAGUUACAUGUUGGUCCUGGGAUCGAGAUGCUGACCUCUUGUGCUUCUCAGACCUGCCUGAUCCAUCCUGGUGCCCUGUGUCUGGAGUCUCAUCGCAUCGCUCCUGUGGAGGGCGGCCCCAUGUGGACAGUUGGGGGUCACACCUGGAGGACACUCUGGACUCUUGCAGUGGUGCUUUUGUGGCUGGGGACUGCAGUUGACUUGCUGACUUUGGGACCACGGUUGUCAUAAACGGUUUUGCGCUCGGGUUUCCGUCGGUGGGGGUUUAUAGCAUCAACGAAGCUGACUUUAUGUUCGGACUGUUAAUGUUAGUCAUGUUGUCUGUUGUUGCCUGGAUGGGGAUGGGUUCCCUUUUGAGUCUGGUUCCUCGAGGUUUCUUCCUCAUGUUGUCUGAGGGAGAUUUUCCUUGCCACCGUCGCCACAAGCGUGCUCGUUGGGGAUAGAUUAGGAAUAAAAUUAGCUCAUAUUUUAAGUCGUUCAAAUUCUGUAAAGCUGCUUUGCGACAAUGCUUAUUGUUAAAAGCGCUUUACAAAUAAACUUGACUUGACAUACAUGUA